rnacentral:rRNA from 1 species
GUAGGGUGCAAGCGUUAAUCGGAAUUACUGGGCGUAAAGCGUGCGCAGGCGGUUUUGUAAGUCUGUCGUGAAAGCCCCGGGCUCAACCUGGGAAUUGCGAUGGAGACUGCAAGGCUUGAAUCUGGCAGAGGGGGUAGAAUUCCACGUGUAGCAGUGAAAUGCGUAGAGAUGUGGAGGAACACCGAUGGCGAAGGCAGCCCCCUGGGUCAAGAUUGACGCUCAUGCACGAAAGCGUGGGGGGAGCAAACAGGAUUAGAUACCCUGGUAGUCCACGCCCCUAAACGAUGUCUACUAGUUGUCGGGUUUUAAUUAACCUUGGUAACGCAGCUAACGCGUGAAGUAGACCGCCUGGGGAUACGGUCGCAAGAUUA